rnacentral:rRNA from 1 species
GAUGAACGCUGGCGGCGUGCUUAACACAUGCAAGUCGAACGGAAAGGCCCAAGCUUGCUUGGGUACUCGAGUGGCGAACGGGUGAGUAACACGUGGGUGAUCUGCCCUGCACUUCGGGAUAAGCCUGGGAAACUGGGUCUAAUACCGGAUAGGACCACUUCUUGGAUGUUGUGGUGGAAAGUUUUUUCGGUGUGGGAUGAGCUCGCGGCCUAUCAGCUUGUUGGUGGGGUAAUGGCCUACCAAGGCGUCGACGGGUAGCCGGCCUGAGAGGGUGUACGGCCACAUUGGGACUGUGAUACGGCCCAGACUCCUACGGGAGGCAGCAGUGGGGAAUAUUGCACAAUGGGCGCAAGCAUGAUGAAGCGACGCCGCGUGGGGGAUGACGGCCUUCGGGUUGUAAACUCCUUUCGCUAGGGACGAAGCGUUUUUGUGACGGUACCUGGAGAAGAAGCACCGGCUAACUACGUG